GACGACACUGUCCGCAAACUCCUGCAGAGUCUGCAUUUGUCCAUACAGUGACCGCAGGAUGUCGAGCACGCCAGAGAGAUCAUUUGCAGACAUGGCAAUGACUGCAUGAAGCCGUCGCGCUGACUUUCAACAGAAGAAAAACAUAGUUAUAGCAGGUUUGCUGUGUCGAACCAGGCGAACCAACUUUUUAAGGACCGCGUUAUGCUUAGCCAAUGAACGAUUAGUUUAGAGCAAGCGUCCAAUCAGAACACCUCAUACUGAAGCGACAUUUACAUUUGACCAAUAGCCGUCAACAAAAGAGGAAACAGGCCAUUUCAAAAGCACCGUAGGAGCCUGUGGCUGCAAGCCAUCAAAAGAACCGACUGGACCGAGGACAUCAUCAAGAACGCCCGCGUUUGCAGUGCUCAUUUCAUAUCUGGUGAGAUGUCACUGGACCACGAGAGUCCUGAUUUUGUGCCCUCUAUUUUUUCACACACUAAACAAAACCAAAACCCUGAUGCAAAGAUCAAAAGAAAAAAGAAAUGGAGUGAAAGACUUCUGGUUGCUCCACCAAACCAACCUGCUCCUGCUCCUGCUCCUGGAACUCCAGGGGAAGUCCCCGGCAUGGAUCACAGUCCUA